AGAAUAUAAGAACCCGACUCUUAACUUUUAACUGAAAAAGUUAAGAGUCGGCUCUUAAAAAGUUAAGAGUCGGCUCUUAAAAAGUUAAGAGCCGACUCUUAACUUUUUCAGUUAAAAGUUAAGAGUCGGGUUCUUAUAUUCU
rfam:Brassica oleracea var. oleracea cultivar TO1000 chromosome C1, whole genome shotgun sequence